GUGUCAGCCGCCGCGGUAAUACGUAGGGUGCGAGCGUUAAUCGGAAUUACUGGGCGUAAAGCGUGCGCAGGCGGUUUUGUAAGUCAGAUGUGAAAUCCCCGGGCUCAACCUGGGAACUGCGUUUGAAACUACAAGACUAGAGUGUAGCAGAGGGGGGUGGAAUUCCACGUGUAGCAGUGAAAUGCGUAGAGAUGUGGAGGAACACCGAUGGCGAAGGCAGCCCCCUGGGUUAACACUGACGCUCAGGCACGAAAGCAUGGGGAGCAAACAGGAUUAGAUACCCUGGUAGUCCAUGCCCUAAACGAUGUCAACUAGUUGUCGGACUUUAACGAGUUUGGUAACGUAGCUAACGCGUGAAGUUGACCGCCUGGGGAGUACGGUCGCAAGAUUAAAACUUAAAUGAAUUGGCGGGG
rnacentral:rRNA from 1 species